rnacentral:rRNA from 1 species
CCUACGGGGGGCAGCAGUGGGGGAUAUUGCACAAUGGGGGGAACCCUGAUGCAGCGACGCCGCGUGGGCGAUGGAGUGCUUCGGCAUGUAAAGCCCUAUCAGCAGGGAAGAAAAUGACGGUACCUGACUAAGAAGCCCCGGCUAAAUACGUGCCAGCAGCCGCGGUAAUACGUAUGGGGCAAGCGUUAUCCGGAUUUACUGGGUGUAAAGGGAGCGUAGGCGGCCUGGCAAGCCUGAUGUGAAAUACCGGGGCCCAACCCCGGGGCUGCAUUGGGAACUGCCAGGCUGGAGUGCCGGAGAGGCAG